AUUGAACGCUGGCGGAAUGCUUUACACAUGCAAGUCGAACGGCAGCACGGGGCAACCUGGUGGCGAGUGGCGAACGGGUGAGUAAUACAUCGGAACGUGCCCAAUCGUGGGGGAUAACGUAGCGAAAGUUACGCUAAUACCGCAUACGAUCUACGGAUGAAAGCGGGGGAUCGCAAGACCUCGCGCGAAUGGAGCGGCCGAUGUCAGAUUAGGUAGUUGGUGGGGUAAAGGCUCACCAAGCCAACGAUCUGUAGCUGGUCUGAGAGGACGACCAGCCACACUGGAACUGAGACACGGUCCAGACUCCUACGGGAGGCAGCAGUGGGGAAUUUUGGACAAUGGGCGCAAGCCUGAUCCAGCCAUUCCGCGUGCAGGAUGAAGGCCUUCGG
rnacentral:rRNA from 1 species